rnacentral:rRNA from 1 species
AGGAAGUUUCCUUCGGGAAACGGAUUAGCGGCGGACGGGUGAGUAACACGUGGGUAACCUGCCUCAUAGAGUGGAAUAGCCUUCCGAAAGGAAGAUUAAUACCGCAUAACGUUGAAAGAUGGCAUCAUCAUUCAACCAAAGGAGCAAUCCGCUAUGAGAUGGACCCGCGGCGCAUUAGCUAGUUGGUGGGGUAACGGCCUACCAAGGCGACGAUGCGUAGCCGACCUGAGAGGGUGAUCGGCCACAUUGGGACUGAGACACGGCCCAGACUCCUACGGGAGGCAGCAGUGGGGAAUAUUGCACAAUGGGGGAAACCCUGAUGCAGCAACGCCGCGUGAGUGAUGAAGGUUUUCGGAUCGUAAAGCUCUGUCUUUGGGGAAGAUAAUGACGGUACCCAAGGAGGAAGCCACGGCUAACUACGUGCCAGCAGCCGCGGUAAUACGUAGGUGGCGAGCGUUAUCCGGAUUUACUGGGCGUAAAGGGAGCGUAGGCGGAUGAUUAAGUGGGAUGUGAAAUACCCGGGCUCAACUUGGGUGCUGCAUUCCAAACUGGUUAUCUAGAGUGCAGGAGAGGACAGUGGAAUUCCUAGUGUAGCGGUGAAAUGCGUAGAGAUUAAGAAGAACACCAGUGGCGAAGGCGACUCUCUGGACUGUAACUGACGCUGAGGCUCGAAAGCGUGGGGAGCAAACAGGAUUAGAUACCCUGGGUAGUCCACGCCGUAAACGAUGAAUACUAGGUGUGGGGGUUUCAACACCUCCGUGCCGCCGCUAACGCAUUAAGUAUUCCGCCUGGGGAGUACGGUCGCAAGAUUAAAACUCAAAGGAAUUGACGGGGACCCGCACAAGUAGCGGAGCAUGUGGUUUAAUUCGAAGCAACGCGAAGAACCUUACCUACACUUGACAUCCCUUGCAUUACUCUUAAUCGAGGAAAUCCCUUCGGGGACAAGGUGACAGGUGGUGCAUGGUUGUCGUCAGCUCGUGUCGUGAGAUGUUGGGUUAAGUCCCGCAACGAGCGCAACCCUUGUCGUUAGUUACUACCAUUAAGUUGAGGACUCUAGCGAGACUGCCUGGGUUAACCAGGAGGAAGGUGGGGAUGACGUCAAAUCAUCAUGCCCCUUAUGUGUAGGGCUACACACGUGCUACAAUGGCUGGUACAGAGAGAUGCAAUACCGCGAGGUGGAGCCAAACUUAAAAACCAGUCUCAGUUCGGAUUGUAGGCUGAAACUCGCCUACAUGAAGCUGGAGUUACUAGUAAUCGCGAAUCAGAAUGUCGCGGUGAAUACGUUCCCGGGUCUUGUACACACCGCCCGUCACACCAUGAGAGUUGGCAAUACC